AAUAGGAUUUUUGCCUAGGAAUUUUUGUACGAAUUUAUUUUCACAUGUAAAAUUUAAUUUGAAAAAAUUUAAUUUUAAAAAAAAAAUUUUGUUGAUUUACAGUGGUAAGAUUUGUUAAUUUAAGAGAUUGAGAAACAGUAAAUUUCUAAGUUUAGACAAAAUAUGUGCCAGCAGUCGCGGUUAUACAAAUUAGGCAAUAAAAAUUUUUUAGUGGUAGUUGAUUGAAAAUCUUAAGUUUAUAGAAGAAUUUUACUAGGUGAAAUUUUAGUUUUUUUUUAAUCUUAAAUUUGGUUAAUGAAGCUAAGAAAAUUUGUUUAUAAACCAGGAUUAGAUACCCUGUUAUUUAAAAGGUAAAUUAUUGAAACUAGGCGAUUAUUAGAUAAGUUCUAUAAAAUCACAAAAAAUGGCGGUAUUUUAGUCUAUUCAGAGGAACCUGUUUUAUAAUUGAUAGUCCACGAUUUGAGUCACCUAAUUUUUUAGUUUUCAUAUCGUUGUAGUUUAAAUAUUUUUAUAGAAUAUAUUUAAAAUUCUUAGUAGAAAGAAAUCAAAUCAAGAUGUAGUUUAUAGUUAGGUAAAAAUGGGUUACAAUAAAUAUAUUUAUAUGAAUAAUCUUUUUAAAUUUAAGGUUUGAAGGUGAAUUUGAGGGUAAUUUUUAAUAAAUUUUAAAAAUGAUUUAGCUCUAAAAUAUGUACAUAUCGCCCGUCGCUUUCAUUUUAAAAUGAAAUAAGUCGUAACAAAGUAGAGGUACUGGAAAGUGCCUCUAGAAGACA
rnacentral:ncRNA from 1 species